AGCGUACACGGUGGAUGCCCUGGCAGUCAGAGGCGAUGAAGGACGUGCUAAUCUGCGAUAAGCGUCGGUAAGGUGAUAUGAACCGUUAUAACCGGCGAUUUCCGAAUGGGGAAACCCAGUGUGUUUCGACACACUAUCAUUAACUGAAUCCAUAGGUUAAUGAGGCGAACCGGGGGAACUGAAACAUCUAAGUACCCCGAGGAAAAGAAAUCAACCGAGAUUCCCCCAGUAGCGGCGAGCGAACGGGGAGCAGCCCAGAGCCUGAAUCAGUGUGUGUGUUAGUGGAAGCGUCUGGAAAGGCGCGCGAUACAGGGUGACAGCCCCGUACACAAAAAUGCACAUACUGUGAGCUCGAUGAGUAGGGCGGGACACGUGGUAUCCUGUCUGAAUAUGGGGGGACCAUCCUCCAAGGCUAAAUACUCCUGACUGACCGAUAGUGAACCAGUACCGUGAGGGAAAGGCGAAAAGAACCCCGGCGAGGGGAGUGAAAAAGAACCUGAAACCGUGUACGUACAAGCAGUGGGAGCACGCUUCGGCGUGUGACUGCGUACCUUUUGUAUAAUGGGUCAGCGACUUAUAUUCUGUAGCAAGGUUAACCGAAUAGGGGAGCCGAAGGGAAACCGAGUCUUAACUGGGCGUUAAGUUGCAGGGUAUAGACCCGAAACCCGGUGAUCUAGCCAUGGGCAGGUUGAAGGUUGGGUAACACUAACUGGAGGACCGAACCGACUAAUGUUGAAAAAUUAGCGGAUGACUUGUGGCUGGGGGUGAAAGGCCAAUCAAACCGGGAGAUAGCUGGUUCUCCCCGAAAGCUAUUUAGGUAGCGCCUCGUGAAUUCAUCUCCGGGGGUAGAGCACUGUUUCGGCAAGGGGGUCAUCCCGACUUACCAACCCGAUGCAAACUGCGAAUACCGGAGAAUGUUAUCACGGGAGACACACGGCGGGUGCUAACGUCCGUCGUGAAGAGGGAAACAACCCAGACCGCCAGCUAAGGUCCCAAAGUCAUGGUUAAGUGGGAAACGAUGUGGGAAGGCCCAGACAGCCAGGAUGUUGGCUUAGAAGCAGCCAUCAUUUAAAGAAAGCGUAAUAGCUCACUGGUCGAGUCGGCCUGCGCGGAAGAUGUAACGGGGCUAAACCAUGCACCGAAGCUGCGGCAGCGACACUAUGUGUUGUUGGGUAGGGGAGCGUUCUGUAAGCCUGUGAAGGUGUACUGUGAGGUAUGCUGGAGGUAUCAGAAGUGCGAAUGCUGACAUAAGUAACGAUAAAGCGGGUGAAAAGCCCGCUCGCCGGAAGACCAAGGGUUCCUGUCCAACGUUAAUCGGGGCAGGGUGAGUCGACCCCUAAGGCGAGGCCGAAAGGCGUAGUCGAUGGGAAACAGGUUAAUAUUCCUGUACUUGGUGUUACUGCGAAGGGGGGACGGAGAAGGCUAUGUUGGCCGGGCGACGGUUGUCCCGGUUUAAGCGUGUAGGCUGGUUUUCCAGGCAAAUCCGGAAAAUCAAGGCUGAGGCGUGAUGACGAGGCACUACGGUGCUGAAGCAACAAAUGCCCUGCUUCCAGGAAAAGCCUCUAAGCAUCAGGUAACAUCAAAUCGUACCCCAAACCGACACAGGUGGUCAGGUAGAGAAUACCAAGGCGCUUGAGAGAACUCGGGUGAAGGAACUAGGCAAAAUGGUGCCGUAACUUCGGGAGAAGGCACGCUGAUAUGUAGGUGAAGUCCCUCGCGGAUGGAGCUGAAAUCAGUCGAAGAUACCAGCUGGCUGCAACUGUUUAUUAAAAACACAGCACUGUGCAAACACGAAAGUGGACGUAUACGGUGUGACGCCUGCCCGGUGCCGGAAGGUUAAUUGAUGGGGUUAGCGGUAACGCGAAGCUCUUGAUCGAAGCCCCGGUAAACGGCGGCCGUAACUAUAACGGUCCUAAGGUAGCGAAAUUCCUUGUCGGGUAAGUUCCGACCUGCACGAAUGGCGUAAUGAUGGCCAGGCUGUCUCCACCCGAGACUCAGUGAAAUUGAACUCGCUGUGAAGAUGCAGUGUACCCGCGGCAAGACGGAAAGACCCCGUGAACCUUUACUAUAGCUUGACACUGAACAUUGAGCCUUGAUGUGUAGGAUAGGUGGGAGGCUUUGAAGUGUGGACGCCAGUCUGCAUGGAGCCGACCUUGAAAUACCACCCUUUAAUGUUUGAUGUUCUAACGUUGACCCGUGAUCCGGGUUGCGGACAGUGUCUGGUGGGUAGUUUGACUGGGGCGGUCUCCUCCUAAAGAGUAACGGAGGAGCACGAAGGUUGGCUAAUCCUGGUCGGACAUCAGGAGGUUAGUGCAAUGGCAUAAGCCAGCUUGACUGCGAGCGUGACGGCGCGAGCAGGUGCGAAAGCAGGUCAUAGUGAUCCGGUGGUUCUGAAUGGAAGGGCCAUCGCUCAACGGAUAAAAGGUACUCCGGGGAUAACAGGCUGAUACCGCCCAAGAGUUCAUAUCGACGGCGGUGUUUGGCACCUCGAUGUCGGCUCAUCACAUCCUGGGGCUGAAGUAGGUCCCAAGGGUAUGGCUGUUCGCCAUUUAAAGUGGUACGCGAGCUGGGUUUAGAACGUCGUGAGACAGUUCGGUCCCUAUCUGCCGUGGGCGCUGGAGAACUGAGGGGGGCUGCUCCUAGUACGAGAGGACCGGAGUGGACGCAUCACUGGUGUUCGGGUUGUCAUGCCAAUGGCACUGCCCGGUAGCUAAAUGCGGAAGAGAUAAGUGCUGAAAGCAUCUAAGCACGAAACUUGCCCCGAGAUGAGUUCUCCCUGACUCCUUGA
rnacentral:rRNA from 1 species